CCCUAAAAAUCUCCUAUAAAUACUUUUCUUUUCCAUUCAUUGGUGGGAGGGAGGGGGGUAAUACUUCACUGUUAGAGAAAAAUAUUAGGGUGGUGGUGGAAGCCGGUUCAAGCUUCGUUCGUCCGGGACGCUGCUCCAAAGAAGAGGGCAUCAAUUAGGUGGGAGGGGAGGUAAUCAAUGAGGCUGUGGAGGUAGAAUAAAUGGUAAUGCAGGCAUGGAAGUGGUUCGUCAAGAUGAUAAGGUUCAAUGUUAUGCUUUGGCGGGCAAGAAUGAGCACAACUAUUGGAUCGCGUUGCCACUCUCCGGUGCAACUGUUGGAUCAGGUUUCCACGUUCCAACACAAUUAUGGGAUGGAAUUACCACGUUCUGGCAAACUAACUGUUUGAGUUUGGGUUCCAUGAGAGGACCAUUGAAUUGGUUAUGUAUCUAAUUGUGAUGAUUACGUUCAUAUGUAAUGAUUAUUGAUAUUGAAAGACUAUUUAUUUCUCUAAAAUGAUUUAGUUAUAUAUUGUCGAGAAUUAUGAAA